rnacentral:rRNA from 1 species
GGGCCCGCACAAGCAGCGGAGCGUGUGGUUUAAUUCGAGGCUACACGAAGAACCUUACCUAGGCUUGACAUCACGGUGGUAGGGAACCGAAAGGGGACCGACCUUCGGGAGCCGUGACAGGUGCUGCAUGGCUGUCGUCAGCUCGUGUCGUGAGAUGUUCGGUUAAGUCCGAAAACGAGCGCAACCCCUGGGGUACGUUACACGUAUCGUGCCCGACUGCCCGGGAGAACCGGGAGGAAGGUGGGGAUGACGUCAAGUCAGCAUGGCCUUGAUGCCUAGGGCGACACACACGCUACAAUGGCCGGUACAAUGGGUCGCAAGGCGGCGACGCCAAGCCAAUCCCGCAAAGCCGGUCGUAGUUCGGAUUGCAGGCUGCAACUCGCCUGCAUGAAGUCGGAGUUGCUAGUAACCGCGCGUCAGCAGAGUGCGGUGAAUACGUUCCCGGGCCUU